rnacentral:rRNA from 1 species
GACGAACGCUGGCGGCGUGCUUAACACAUGCAAGUCGAACGCUGAAGACCUGGCUUUUGUUGGGUUGGAUGAGUGGCGAACGGGUGAGUAACACGUGAGUAACCUGCCCCCUUCUUUGGGAUAACGCCCGGAAACGGGUGCUAAUACUGGAUAUUCACUGGCCUUCGCAUGGGGGUUGGUGGAAAGGUUUGUUCUGGUGGGGGAUGGGCUCGCGGCCUAUCAGCUUGUUGGUGGGGUGAUGGCCUACCAAGGCUUUGACGGGUAGCCGGCCUGAGAGGGUGACCGGUCACAUUGGGACUGAGAUACGGCCCAGACUCCUACGGGAGGCAGCAGUGGGGAAUAUUGCACAAUGGGCGAAAGCCUGAUGCAGCGACGCCGCGUGAGGGAUGGAGGCCUUCGGGUUGUAAACCUCUUUCGCUCAUGGUCAAGUCGCAACUGUGGGUUGUGGUGAGGGUAGUGGGUAAAGAAGCGCCGGCUAACUACGUGCCAGCAGCCGCGGUAAUACGUAGGGCGCGAGCGUUGUCCGGAAUUAUUGGGCGUAAAGGGCUUGUAGGCGGUUGGUCGCGUCUGCCGUGAAAUCCUCUGGCUUAACUGGGGGCGUGCGGUGGGUACGGGCUGACUUGAGUGCGGUAGGGGAGACUGGAACUCCUGGUGUAGCGGUGGAAUGCGCAGAUAUCAGGAAGAACACCGGUGGCGAAGGCGGGUCUCUGGGCCGUUACUGACGCUGAGGAGCGAAAGCGUGGGGAGCGAACAGG